rnacentral:rRNA from 1 species
UACAGAGGUCUCGAGCGUUGUUCGGAUUCAUUGGGCGUAAAGGGUGCGUAGGUGGCGUGGUAAGUCUGGUGUGAAAUCCCGGGGCUCAACCCCGGAACUGCACUGGAUACUGCCAUGCUUGAGUACUGGAGAGGAGAUUGGAAUUUACGGUGUAGCAGUGAAAUGCGUAGAUAUCGAUAAGGAAGACCAGUGGCGAAGGCGAAUCUCUGGACAGUUACUGACACUGAGGCACGAAGGCCAGGGGAGCAAACGGG